GUGGGUAUAGCUCAGUGGUAGAGCACAUGCUUAGCAUGCAUGAGGUCCUGGGUUCAAUCCCCAGUACCUCCA
rfam:Camelus ferus unplaced genomic scaffold scaffold1086, whole genome shotgun sequence.